AAUUUCCUUGUAAAAUCUAUUUAAAACUCUCGUAGUCUCACCCAUAUGGCUGGCCAAAGCAUGAAGUGAAGAGGAAAGGAAAGAACACAAACCCUAGGUGGGAAAAUUGAAGAAAAAGUGUGGGAUUUCAAGGGAUUAAGCUAAUAAAGGUGAGAUUUUAUGAUUUUAUCUUGUGAUUUACACUACUCAUGCUUUCUUUUUCAUUUUCCAUGCUUUGAACUCAAGUUGGCAUGAUGAACCCAUGCUAGCCGAAUUUGAGAGGAGAGGUUUUGAGCAUUGAUUUUGCUAGAUUUCAAACUAAUUAAGUGUUUUUGGUUGUUUGGUAAUGGAAAGUAUGAAAAUCUAGCAAGGAAUCACUUUGUUCUACACAAACCCACAAGAGGUUGAAUUUUCUAGGGAGGAUAUUGAGGCUGAAAUUGAUGAUAGUUCAUGAUAUUUUAGUGGUAUUUAAUGAUUGGUGAGGCUAGAAAUUUAAUGGGAAAUUUUGGCAUGAAAAUCUGAAUUUUUACCUAAUGUAUAGACAUUUGCGAUUUAUGGUUCAGACUGAUAAAUUGAAUCAUAUUCACAGUCAUUGAACUAUUUUAAGUAUAAUUGGAGUGUAGAAAGUGAAAGAAAUCAAUUUGCAAUUAAAUUGGAGGUUUUAGCCAAUUACACCAAGAAUAGUGCGAAUUAGGUCGAACACCGUAUUUAAACGGCUAUUCGGACAUUUUGCAUCACAUUUCGUGCAUUCAUAUAGAUUUAUAGAGCCUGAAAUAGUUUAUGAUAAAUUGACACAAUUAUUAAAAUUCGUGUCACGUAUGAUGUAUAGGUGGUGAGCCCUCUAACAAGGGUAAAGAGAUUGUGCCCGAAGAUCGGGAAUAGGAAUAUGUCGAACUCCUAGUACUAUGAGUAACCUUACUAUCGUCUUAAUUAUCUAAAGUGGUUUUUAUCCGAAUUUGUGAAUUUCAUGGAAAAUGAAUUAAAUGAUUAAUUUUUUCGAUUUUAUAAACUAAAUGUGAUUUAAUGAAAUGAUUUCAUAAAAUUGUUUUAAAAUUGAAUAAUGGCUUUGAAAAUAGAGUAAUUGGAGACGAUUUGAUGUAUUGUGAAUUUAUGGUUCUAAUUGAUUGGCUUAUGAUAAUAAUGGCAUGAAUGGCUAAAUUGGUUUUUGUGCUGAAAUGUAUAAACUGUUGUUUACCUUAAUAGGCUGGAUGAUGAUAAAAUUGCCAUGUUAUGCUGUUGAAUUUUUAUUGUAUGGUGGGUAUAGCUUGCUGUAGUGAGCUAGUUCUAUGGACUAGCCUAUUAGAGGGGCACGGAACCAGGUCAUAUUCUUUCUUCGAUUGGAGAGGCGAGUAAGGUAACUCCCAAGGUAUAACUUUAGAGUUCACUUCACGUUAAACCACCUUAUGAUGAUGAACUCCGCUAACGCCAAGGAACGGCUAUGUUUUUAAAAUAAAAACAUGAUUUAUGCAUACAUAACUUUUUAACAGCCUUGGCGGACUCUGUUGGGAUAGCCUUCGAUCAAGGCAUCCUUGAUAACUGGGUAUAAAAAUGAUUUUGGCACGAGCUAAAGCUUUUAAGAAAUUCAUAAGCCAUGUUAAUUACUCGAUUUAUAUGAAUUAAUUUUAUUUGGUUGAAACAAGUUGAAAGGUGAUGAAUUUCAAUAUGUUAAACUAUUUUAUCAGUCUCCAUUUACUCGACUUUAGAUAGUUUAGAUAGUAUCUGUUUACUCAUUGGGAUUUUAUAUUCUCACCACCCUCAUUUUCAACCAUUUCAGGCUCGAGGUAGCUUGUGGAUAGCAGAUAUCGUCAAGGAUUAUAGUCGACUUUACUACUCCAAAAACUGUAGGUUUACUGCCUUUGUGCACUUUUGUUCCUUGUGAGCCCACGAGUCACUGUAAAGUAAAUUUCAUAUCUUGAUUAUCCGUAUUAUAGUACGUAUGAAUUUAUUUAGCUUUUACAUUAUAAAAACUAUUUACCGAUGACUCUAUAAAUAUUGUUUAACAAGAAAUUAGAAUAUUUUAUUGAAUAUUUUUAUUUUAUUCAAAUAGUUGCAAUAUCAUUUUCAAUAAAUAUUUUAGACACCCAAAUUUAUUUUAAAUCAUGAAAUAUGUGUUUUCCACUCAUCUACUACAUUUUUAGUCGAGUUCGAAAACUUUUGAGGAAAAAUUAACGAAAACGCCCCUGUGAGGCGAAAAUUAUUUUUCCACGAUUUUCAAAGGGUAAAAUCUUAAAUUUUUUUUAAAAACGAGGUUUGGCGAUAAUUACUCACAGAGGAGAUGAAAAAAAAAUGAUACUAAAGCCUUACAAGGUUCCGGUUGGCACUCCGAGUAACGAAUUUCUAUCGGGACGUCGCGACGGUUGUCACGGGCUCGAGGGGAGUACCGAGUCAUGACAAUUAAGUUGGUAUCAGAGACUUUGGUUUUAAAGAUCAGAGCUUUUGGGUUUAAAGUUGUUUUAAAGUUGUUUUAAAAAUUUACAGUGUGGCCCUAAGUUAAGUUUGGUUAGAUUGAAUAGAAUGCAUGUAUCUAUAUAUAGAAACCUACCUACCCUUGUGAUGCAUGAAUGAUUAAGUAAUUACUACUUGGUUGCAUAUAGGUUUUGAGGUGCAUUGGUGAUAUACACACCAUGUCUAGAAAAGGUGGUGUCCCGAUACCCCUCAUAGUGCUAGUGAGGGAUCAUUAGAUUCCAUUGCUAGAAGCCAAUGGUGCCCUGAUCCAGGUAAUUCGAAAAGUGGUCCAUCCCAAAUUCCUAUUAAUAGAAUUCCUCCGAACUUAGCAGCAUGGUUUCAUAAUAAGGAAAGCUUUGAGAUUAACGAGGGUCUUGAAAGUGAGAGUAGCUUCGAUACUUCGAAAACUGAAAAAGAUUUCCUUUUGAAACAAUCUGAAGAGUACCAUAGAGAAUGGAUGAGGGAGAAGAUUGCAAAGGGAUAUAUUCAUUCUAGGAAGAGCGUGCCAGCUGUACGACAUUUUCCUCAUGGUUGUGGAAGAAAUGCUGCACCGGUGAGUUAUGAAGAAUGUAGAAGAAUAUAACUAGCCUAGAUUGAGGAGCAAAGGAGAAAAUCACAGGAGGAGGAGAACCCGGAAGAGGAUCUUAAAAAGGACUUGGAGUAGAAUCUUUCGAUAAGAUCAGAUUAAGAUGAUGAUCCCAAUGAUAUGUAAUAUUUUCGUAGGAUUUUGUACUACUUUAACUCUAGGUAGAUGUAGUGUAAAGGAAAUAAUAGUUAUAUGUACAAAGAAGUUAAUAGUUUGGCUUUUAAAGUGUGUGACUAGAAUGGAUUAUAAAAUAGCUGUUUAAAUGACUACACGUAUAUGGAAAUCUUUUUGUGUAUGAUAGAGAUAAAUUGGUAAUAUAAUUAUUGAGAAAGGUUAUAGGAGGAAGCAAUAAGGUUAUAAAUGACAUUCAAAAUGGAUAACGUGAUUAAGUUGAUGAUUGUAAUUUAAGCAUGAAGGGGAUUACUCAGUGAUGCCAUGACACUAUGAGAUAAUAAUUGGACACAAAUAUAGCCCAAUGAAGUUAAAUUAUGGAAUAUGAGGAAUAUGAAAUUUUGAUUUAGUAAGGAUUGCGAGAAUAAAGUGAGGAGGAAGCUGGGCUAUUUUCGUAGUUAAUUAUUCCGAUAGUCAAUAAAAUUAUUGGAGUACAAGACAAGGAAAAUAAUUAGAUAGGGAUGACAAUAAAUUUGAGGAAAGUUGUAGACAGUAAGCAACUUAUGUCUGAGGUGGUAUAUGUGUUAUGAAUUUAUUAUACCGUAUGGAAAGGAUGUUUUGAGGUAGGAUUCUAUGAAUGUUGAUGAAAGUCAAAAGAUGACAUGAGUUGAAAGUAUAAACUUGGCUUAUUGCGUAUGGCAAGCAAAGAGAAGGUACCUAUACUUAUGGAACUCAUGAUAUAUGCCUAGAAGGGAAACCCAAUGGUUGAGGAUGAUGGAUGUAGUGACUUUGAAUGCAGACAAAUAGCUUUGAUGAGGAAAUUUCUAGUAGUUACAGCGCCGCAGCACUGAUUGUCCAGCGUUGUAAUGCUCGAAUACCUCACGCCUAUGAUGCAUGAGUAAGAUGGGAGUGACACGAUAAUGAGCUUACAAAUUGAAUUUUGGUUAUUGGUUAUUGAGCUUUGUUAAUUAAGAGUUUUAAAUAUUCUAGAGAAUGUCUACUUGAAUAGAUUGAAAAGCUUCUUUAUCGCCUUGUGUAUGAGCAUAUAAUUAAAAGAAAAAUUGAAAGAUUCUUGAGAUGGCUAUAUUGAGAUAAGAUACCAAGUGAUGAAAGUGUGAAUGAAGGAUUAUAAGGGUGGUAUAAAAAACAAGUUUAUAUAGAAUAUCAUUAUGAGAAUUUACAAUUAUUGUCUUGACUCAGUUAAAUGACAAGGGUUAGUAACAACACGAGGCCAAUUGUGUAGCACCCUAAAAACCUAUGAAGACAAGUUGGGGAUUGAAUGGAUGAAUAUGUAUUUAUAUACCUUUAAGAUUAAGUGUUUUAGGAAUGCACAAACAUCCUUGAGAAGAAAUUUCUAAUCAUACACGACAAAUAUAAAAUGUGAGAUUUUUAAAAUUUACUGAGGAGCCUAACGGCUAAGUCACAAGCUAAGUAAUCACGUGCUGCGAGACAUAAGUCCAAGUUUUUAAGUGACAUUUAGUAAGUGAGAUGUGAUAAAUGACAUUGUGAUAUGUGGAUAUAACAUGAUGAAACUCAAGCAUAUGAUUGGAAAUGAUACAAAUGAUAUGAAGUUAUACGCAAGCAUAAUAAGAAGGUUGACAUGCACUAUAAGGAUUAUUAUAUUGAAUCUAGGAUUGGGAUGUGGAUGAAUAAAGGGAAAUGUAGUCCAAGGCAUGUGAACACAUGGAUCCCUAUACAUAACGAGAGAUGUUGACAUUUGAAAAUGUAUGUAUAUAUGUAUAUAUGAAAUUGAUAAUUUGACUAACUAAGGUGAAGAAUUGUUCUCAGUAAUUGGGAGAUUUUGAAAUAAUAUCCAGAGGGGUCAGUGAGCUAAAGUGUUAUCGGGCAUGCAAUGAACGAUUAAAGUUAUAAGUGAGUUUCAAGGUAAGCCUUGGAUUGUUUAAGUUCUCAAUGGAACUUUAUUAAAGGAAGCGUAUGGAAAAGCAUAAGAAAAUAUAUUAGUUUGACUUACUAUAAGAGGUCAAAAGUUGGAUGGUCAUGAGUGGCUUGUAAGUAACCCAAGAAUGUAUAGGUAAGUGUGCAAGGGAGCUAUGAUCGAUAGAUAAGGGUAGAACUUUAUUGAUGAGAUAGUGUUCGCUGCGUUAUACCUUGAACUAUAAAAUAUGGAUAUGUAUCCACAUUAUGAAACUCUAAUGUGAUAAAUUCGAAAGACUUUUUGCAAUGAGAAAACAUUAAAGCUUAAGGAGCAAAUGGCUAUAUAGUCAAGUUAGACUCAAGACUGACAUGUCACAUAAGUAUGAGGAUGGGAUACAAGCAUAAGUAUACUUGGAAAUACUGGUUUGAGGUAAUGAUUAUCCUACUAUUUUAUGGACCCGAUGAGGUUCUGAUCUCGACAUAAUUGUAGACGCAAAACAUAAAUUGUGAAAUGUACUUCCCCACAAGUUUCAAUUUAUUUUUAAGUAAUUAUCAAGGCAAAGUACUUGAUAAUGGUAGGCAAAGGUUGAAUUGUGUUCCAAAUGUUUAGAAAAUGAGGGUGAUACGGUUUGAUUAAAUGACACUAUUAUGCAUAAGGGAAUAGAAAUACGCUAUGAGGACUAUAAAGAUCUACUUAGAAAAGAAAUGAUGAUUCGAAAAUUCAAGUACUCAUGUACAAGUAAGGGUUUGGUGAUGAGAUAUGACAUAGGGUUGAAUUACUCCAAUAUGAACUUUGACUAUAAAAAUUUGAUUUAUAUAAUACAUGUUGUUUGGGGAUGAUGCCAACUAGUGGUUAACUCUCAUAUGAGAAUGGAAUAUGUGCAAUCGAAUUCGUGUAAUCAAAAGUGUGAAAAUUUGCCUUGAUUGGCAUAAGCCCAUGACUCAAAAUGGAUGAUUAUGGAUUUAAUCUUCUAAGGUAAAAAAGGCUGAAGGAAGUUGAUACCAGAAAUAUUUUGAUAAAUGAUACUUUGAUUUUAAAGUGUACUUGAGGUGAGAUAUAUGUUUAUUUUCAUUUUCAGAUUGAUGAACAAAUAAGGCCAUGAGAUCUAGUGUUCGGAGUAAAAAUUUGAGGAAUCACCAGUUAGAUAUGUUUGUAUGUGAUGUAUAACUAACAAGUUGGUUAAGACCUAGGAAUUAUAAGGAUUGAUUAAGUCCAUAAGGAUACAUCCAAAAGUAGGUUUGUUUAUUUAAAUAUAUCGUGGUAAUAGACGAGAUCUACUUAAUAAGUACUCGAUCAUGAAAGUACUAGAGUUUUCUUUUUAAGAAUAUGGUUACUAAUGGUUAUCAAAUUUGAAUUAUCUGUGAUGUUAAAUAUAUAUAUGGAUAAAUAAAGAGUGUUUGAUCCUUAUGUAUUAUGAAAUGCUUGAAUAGGAAUUGUAGUGCACACCCCUUUAGGAGAAAAAUUGAUUUGGAAGUAGUUGUAAUAUGGAAAGAGUAUUCUGAAGUGGGAAUUAUUGAUUAUUGACAAGUGAUAAAGGUAGCGUAACGAUAGCAAAUCCCAUUAGAGGCUGAGUUGCGUGGACACAAGAGACUUUAGGAGAUAGUAAAGGAAAUGGUAUCAAGGAAAUGUAAUCUAUAGUACGGUUAAGGCAUACGCGAUGGACUAAUAUGAUUAAGAAGAUUGAAGCUACAUAAAUGUGAGGUAAACAUAAAUAUGAGGAUACCUAUAGGAAUGAAUAAGAUCAUCCCAAUGGUUAAAGUAUUGUGGAUGAAUGCUCGAAUGGAAGAGAUAACAUGGGAAGUUGAACAUCAUAUGAGAAGACAAUACCCCACAUUUUCUCUGAGUUCAGUAAAUGAAAUUUUGAGGUCAAAAUUUUAUUUUAAGGGGGGUAGUGCUGUCAAGCCCAACCUUAUAAAGUACUUGCCAUGUCCUUUAUGUGAUUCACAAUAUGCUUGCAUACUUGGAAAGCCCCGAAAAAUCAUCAAAAGUCGAUAUUAUACCAAAUGGUACUAUUAAGUUGAAUUAAGCCUCGAACUAGUCUAAAUAGAGAUCUUAAGAUGAAAUUGAGAAUUUUAAAACCCCAAAAUGACUUAAAAUGAUGAUUUGGAGUUCAAGGGCUAAAUUGGAGUCAAUUUGGAAUUUUCAUGUUCUAGAGGUAAAAUGGUAAUUUUGUAACCUGAAGACAAAAUGGGAAUUUUUAGAAAAUAUUUCAAUCACAUUUGACUCAUUGGAGUAUGAUUUGAGUUUGAGAGGUGAAAAAUUUAAAUUCUGACAUUUUUUGAGUCCUAAGGGCAAAACGAUAAUUUUACUAGUUUACGAGGGUAAAGUUGGAAUUUUGGAAUUUUACACCACCUAACACUUGUCAUGCCCAUGGAUUUCAGCCUUUAACAUUUUACAUUGUGGAUAAUUGAAACAUUUUAUGGGGGUGGAGAGAGAUUGCUUGAUGGAUAAGUAUUACACAUGGACCAAUGGAAACAUGCCAUGUGUCAAGCUUGGAUUAUUCUAGAAUUUCCUUGUAAAAUCUAUUUAAAACUCACUUAGUCUCACCCAUAUGGCCGGCCAAAGCAUGAAGUGAAGAGGAAAGGAAAGAACACAAACCCUAGGUGGGAAAAUUGAAGAAAAAGUGUGGGAUUUAAAGGGAUUAAGCUAAUAAAGGUAAAAUUUUGUGAUUUUAUCUUGUGAUUUACACUACCCAUGCUUUCUUUUUCAUUUUCCAUGCUUAGAACUCAAGUUUGCAUGAUGAACCCAUGCUGGCCGAAUUUGAGAGGAGAGAUUUUGAGCAUUGAUUUUGCUAGAUUUCAAGCUAAUUAAGUGUUUUUGGUUGUUUGGUAAUGGAAAGUACGAAAAUCUAGCAAGGAAUCACUUUGUUCUUCACAAACCCACAAGAGGCUGAAUUUUCUAGGGAGGAUAUUGAGGCUAAAAUUGAUGAUAUUUCAUGAGAUUCUAGUGGUAUUUAAUGAUUGGUGAGGCUAGAAAUUUAAUACAAAUUUUGGCAUGAAAAUCUGAAUUUUUACCUAAUGUACAAACAUGUGCAAUUUAUGGUUCGGACUGAUUAAUUGAAUCAUAUUCACAGUCAUUGAGGUAUUUAAAGUAUAAUUGAAGUGUAGAAAGUGAAAGAAAUUGAUUUGCAGUUAAAUUGGAGGUUUUAGCCAAUUACACCGAGAAUAACGCGAAUUAGGUCAAAUAUCGUAUUUAAACGGCUAUUCGAACAUUUUGCAUCACAUUUUGUGCAUUCAUAUAGAUUUAUAAAGCCUGAAAUAGUUUAUGAUAAGUUGACACAAUUUAUUGAAAUUUGUGUCACGUAUGAUGUAUAGGUGGUGAGCCCUCUAACAAAGGUAAAGAGAUUGUGCCCAAAGAUCGGGAAUAGGAGUAUAUCGAACUCCUAGUACUAUGAGUAACCUUACUAUCGUCUUAAUUAUCUAAAGUGAUUUUUAUUCGAUUUUGUGAAUUUCAUGGAAAAUGAAUUAAAUGAUUAAUUUUUUCGAUUUUAUAAACCAAAUGUGAUUUAAUGAAAUGAUUUCAUAAAAUUGUUUUAAAAUUGAAUAAUGGCUUUGAAAAUAGAGUAAUUGGAGACCAUUUGAUGUAUUAUGAAUUUAUGGUUCUAAUUGAUUAGCUUAUGACAAUAUUGGCAUGAAUGGCUAAAUUGGUGUUUGUGUUGAAAUGUAUAAACUGUUGUUUGCCUUGAUAGGCUGGAUAAUGGUAAAAUUGCCAUGUUAUGCUGUUGAAUUUUUAUUGUUUGGUGGGUUUAGCUUGUUGCAGUGGGCUGGUUCUGUGGACUAGCCUAUUAGAGGGGCACGAAACCUGGUCAUAUUCUUACCUCGGUUGGAAAGACGAGUAGGGUAACUCCUGAGGUAUAACUUUAAGGUUCACUUCACCUUAAACCACCUCGUGAUGAUGAACUCCGCUAACGCCAAGGAACGGCUAUGUUUUUAAAAUAAAAACAUGAUUUAUGCGUACAUAACUUUUUAACAGCCUUGGCGGUCUCGAUUGGGAUAGCCCUCGAUCAAGGCAUCCCUGAUAACUGAGUAUAAAAAUGAUUUUGGCAAUAGCCAAAGCUUUUAAGAAAUUCAUAAGCCAUGUUAAUUACUUGAUUUAUAUGAAUUAAUUUUAUUUGGUUGAAACAAGUUGAAAGGUGAUGAAUUUCAGUAUGUUAAACUGUUUUAUCUGUCUCCAUUUACUCGACUUUAGAUAGUUUAGAUGGUAUCUGUUUACUCAUUGGGAUUUUAUAAUCUCACCACCCUCCUUUUCAACUAUUUCAGGCCUGAGGUAGCCUGUGGAUAGCAGAUAUCGUCAAGGAUUAUAGUUAGCUUUACUACUCCAAAAACUGUAGGUUUACUACCUUUGUGCACUUUUGUUCCUUGUGGGCCCACGAGUCACUGUAAAGUAAAUUUCAUAUCCCGGUUAUCUGUAUUAUAGUACGUAUGAAUUUAUUUAGCUUUUACAUUACAAAAAUUAUUUACCGAUGACUCUCUAAAUAUUGUUUUACAAGAAAUUAGAAUAUUUUAUU
rnacentral:lncRNA from 1 species